rnacentral:tRNA from 1 species
GUGACCGUAGUUCAGUUGGUUAGAGCGUCAGAUUGUGGUUCUGAAUGUCGUGGGUUCGAAUCCCAUCGGUCACCCUA